rnacentral:rRNA from 1 species
GAUGAACGCUGGCGGCGUGCCUAAUACAUGCAAGUCGAGCGAAUGGAUUAAGAGCUUGCUCUUAUGAAGUUAGCGGCGGACGGGUGAGUAACACGUGGGUAACCUGCCCAUAAGACUGGGAUAACUCCGGGAAACCGGGGCUAAUACCGGAUAACAUUUUGAACCGCAUGGUUCGAAAUUGAAAGGCGGCUUCGGCUGUCAUUUAUGGAUGGACCCGCGUCGCAUUAGCUAGUUGGUGAGGUAACGGCUCACCAAGGCAACGAUGCGUAGCCGGCCUGGGAGGGUGAUCGGCCACACUGGGACUGAGACACGGCCCAGACUCCUACGGGAGGCAGCAGUAGGGAAUCUUCCGCAAUGGACGAAAGUCUGACGGAGCAACGCCGCGUGAGUGAUGAAGGCUUUCGGGUCGUAAAACUCUGUUGUUAGGGAAGAACAAGUGCUAGUUGAAUAAGCUGGCACCUUGACGGUACCUAACCAGAAAGCCACGGCUAACUACGUGCCAGCAGCCGCGGUAA